UACGAAGGGGGCUAGCGUUGCUCGGAAUUACUGGGCGUAAAGCGGCACGAUAGGCGGCUUUCUAAGUCGGGGGUGAAAUCCUGGAGCUCAACUCCAGAACUGCCUUCGAUACUGGAGAGCUUGAGUCCGGGAGAGGUGAGUGAACUGCGAGUGUAGGAGGUGAAAUUCGUAGAUAUUCGCAAGAACACCAGUGGCGAAAGGCGGCUCACUGGCCCGGUACUGACGCUGAGGUGCGAAAGCGUGGGGAGCAAACAGG
rnacentral:rRNA from 1 species